rnacentral:rRNA from 1 species
AUUGAACGCUGGCGGCAUGCCUUACACAUGCAAGUCGAACGGUAACAGGUCUUCGGAUGCUGACGAGUGGCGAACGGGUGAGUAAUACAUCGGAACGUGCCUAGUAGUGGGGGAUAACUACUCGAAAGAGUGGCUGAUACCGCAUGAGAUCUACGGAUGAAAGCAGGGGAUCGCAAGACCUUGUGCUACUAGAGCGGCCGAUGGCAGAUUAGGUAGUUGGUGGGAUAAAAGCUUACCAAGCCGACGAUCUGUAGUUGGUCUGAGAGGACGAUCAGCCACACUGGGACUGAGACACGGCCCAGACUCCUACGGGAGGCAGCAGUGGGGAAUUUUGGACAAUGGGCGCAAGCCUGAUCCAGCAAUGCCGCGUGCAGGAUGAAGGCCUUCGGGUUGUAAACUGCUUUUGUACGGAACGAAAAGCCCUGGGUUAAUACCCUGGGGUCAUGACGGUACCGUAAGAAUAAGCACCGGCUAGCUACGUGCCAGCCGCCGCAGUAAGAC